rnacentral:rRNA from 1 species
CAAAAGCGCAUGUGCUGUGAGCUCGAUGAGUAGGGCGGGACACGUGGUAUCCUGUCUGAAUAUGGGGGGACCAUCCUCCAAGGCUAAAUACUCCUGACUGACCGAUAGUGAACCAGUACCGUGAGGGAAAGGCGAAAAGAACCCCGGCGAGGGGAGUGAAAAAGAACCUGAAACCGUGUACGUACAAGCAGUGGGAGCCCCACCACUAAGCCAGUGGUGAACUCCACAUACGCAUCCUUUGCUGAGGAUACGGUUAACGGAGCGAAAGCGACGUUCAACCGCAAAAGAAGCAGAGGGGGCUUAGUGGUGGGGUGACUGCGUACCUUUUGUAUAAUGGGUCAGCGACUUAUAUUCUGUAGCAAGGUUAACCGUAUAGGGGAGCCGGAGGGAAACCGAGUCUUAAUUGGGCGUUAAGUUGCAGGGUAUAGACCCGAAACCCGGUGAUCUAGCCAUGGGCAGGUUGAAGGUUGGGUAACACUAACUGGAGGACCGAACCGACUAAUGUUGAAAAAUUAGCGGAUGACCUGUGGCUGGGGGUGAAAGGCCAAUCAAACCGGGAG